UAGGCUAAGAAGAUGAGGGCUUGAAAAAAGCAAAGCUUGAAAUUCCUGCCAGAGGUGAAUGGAUGAAGAUAUAGCUGGUUUAACUUUGUAUUGGGACUCUGAGAUGCUCCUUAUUGUCACUGCUUCCAUGGACCCUUUAGCGUGUCAGAAGAAAUCGAUGGCCACCGUGAAACGGGAUUUAACAGGAUCCAUCUGAGAACAUUGGUCACUGAUGCCAGCCAGCUUCAGCCUGCACUUGUUAGCAUUUCAAGGAAGCAGUUUUGUGUCUUCUCUGACUCUGCCUGUGAGGAGCUCCCUGCACACCUCAGUGAAGCUGCCUCAUUACCCUCCAUCAGAUGGAAAGCUCUUCGUGGGCAGGGUGCUUGUGACAAUCUCCAGACAACGAGGCUGCUGCCAGGCUGAGCCCCUCUUAGCUGUGCUGCCCACCCUCUGUGCCAUGACUCCCAUCUCCUCCCCGCUGCUUGUCUCUUCUCUUGUGUUGUCAGGCUUUUGUCCUUUUUAUCCCCCUGGCCCUGUACAGAGCUACACAAAUUAAAGCCCUUGUUGAUGACUCCUGGGCACUCCUGUAAUAGUAGCUUAUAAGAAUAAAAAUGUGACUGAAUUUAGUUAUUUAAGACUUGGUGGUAGAAAGCCUUGAUUUGUUAUGGAAUUUGUCAGACACAUGCUUUGUUCAAUAAAAUGUA